rnacentral:sRNA from 1 species
UUAUUUCGGCUCCUGCCGGGCCCCGCCUU